rnacentral:rRNA from 1 species
GACGAACGCUGGCGGCGUGCCUAACACAUGCAAGUCGAGCGAUGAAGUUUCCUUCGGGAAACGGAUUAGCGGCGGACGGGUGAGUAACACGUGGGUAACCUGCCUUGUAGAGGGGGAUAGCCUUCCGAAAGGAAGAUUAAUACCGCAUAAGAUUGUAGUUUCGCAUGAAACAGCAAAUUAAAGGAGCAAUCCGCUACAAGAUGGACCCGCGGCGCAUUAGCUAGUUGGUGAGGUAACGGCUCACCAAGGCGACGAUGCGUAGCCGACCUGAGAGGGUGAUCGGCCACAUUGGGACUGAGAUACGGCCCAG